GGCCGAGGGAAGGGGACCAGCAGAAACGUGAAUGCCGUGGGAGUCUUACAGGAAAACCAGCUGGGCUAUUAAAGGCCCCUCUUCACACAGAGCAGAGCAAGAGAAGGCAGGUUUCAGAGCGAAUCGCUGUCUACCAUCAAAGCAGACGGGGUUCCAAACAGACAUGGAGACAGAAGCUGUAUACUCUUCCCUUGAGUAUCGUCUGCUGUUGUGACUUGCUGUGACCAACAGAAUGUGGAAGCAGUGACGUGGCAUGACUUCUCAGCCUGAGCCUCAGAGGCUCACAGCUCUCAGCCUCUGGGCUCACGGAUGCCCUGUGAUGAAGCUGAGGCUGCCCCGAGGGACACGUACAGCCCAGUUGCCAGCCAGCAAAACCCACCAGAUGUUUCUUUGGCCCUGUCAGAUCAUAACUGAGUUGCCAGAUGACUGCAGCCACGUGAGUGACCUAGCGUGAGACAAACAGAACUGCCCAGCUAAGCCCAGGCCACAUUGCUGACCCAGAGAACUGUGAGCAAAUGACAUGGUGUUGUUUCAGUCUGGUCUGCUGCAAUUCAUAAAUCUUGCUCCUCUUGAAGAUGUUUAGUUCACAGCUAUUUCAUACAAUGCUAGGUAGUCCAUAUGAAAAUCUAGAAAAGCGAAUAAGUUUUUGGGUGGUUUGUCACACAGCAAAGAUAACUGAUAACAGUGUAGAUUUUAUUUAUAUGAAGUUCAAAAGCAGGCUAAUCUAUAGCGACAGAGGUCAGAAUAGCAUUGUCAGUGGUGGGGUGCUGACUGACAGAGGGACAUAGGGAAGACUUCUGGAAAUGUUUUAUUUAUUGAGCUGGUUGAUGGCCACGCAAGUCCAUUCACCUGGUAACAAUUCAUCAAGUUGUAUACUUGAGCAGUUGAGAUUGGUGUACUUCACUGUAUGUAAGUUAUACCUUAAUUAAAACACACACACACACACAUGCACACCCAGUGCAUAUGGUCCAGAAUCCUGAGAGAUACGGGCGCUGCACUCUGUGGAUGAGUUCGCAGGCAGGCAUGCAGGGUCUGGCAGAGUCAGCAAAUGCCAGAGCCCCACAGUCAGACUGUUGGAGAUGGAGCCCAUUCAUUUAAAAUGUGCUUAUUACCCACCGAUUUUGGACUAAGCACUCUGCUGGGAAUAAAUACUUGAAUAAAACACAAUCUGACCUUGCAAAUUAUACGUGCUAAGCUAGGCCAAUGUAGAGACAAAGGCCAGAACUAAAUGAUAUUAUUUUACCAUGACAAAUGGGUAACUGAGGACAUAAAAUGUAAUUAAAAGCUGGGCUCUAAAUCACAUCACGGUCUUUGAGAUAAAGUGAGUAAGUACUGCUUGUUGAGUUUCAGAUCCAUAGAGAGACCUACAGAAUUGUGUGUCUGUCAUUUUGUGUAACAUGGUGUGUGUUUACGAGACUUGAGGCUACCGCUGAGUUUGGGAGCUACUGACAUGGAAGGUCUGCCCUCCGUCGGUUGGAUCAUGUUUGAAUGCUUUUGUCAAGUGAGCUUGGCAUUGCAAUAUACCAAAGCAGAGAGUGGUUGAACAAUUUCAUUCAUCCUUUAUUCACUAUCAGACACCGUGUUGAGUUUCUAGAAAACGUGUCGUUGCAUUCAGCUUCUACCAAAGGUGGAGCUGUUCAGUGAACCGCAUGCGGGCUGAGAAGGAAGUUGGCAGGGAGGAGAGCAGAACUGUGAGGUGGGGAGACGGGCUUCUAACGACUUGUUUGAGCCUCUGAAGCUCUCUGUACCUGAAGCAUAAGCAUUUUUCCUUUAUUAUUUACUUAUUGUUAUGCAGUUUGAGUCUGACGUUUUGUCACGUGGAGGAGUCCUACCCAAUCGAGUCAGUGGGGCCCCUCCCCCCUCCUCCUGCCCCUCCUUGGCUGCUGGCUAAACGCUGACUACCUCUUCCCUUUUAGUUUUACUCUUUUAAAUAUUUUUCUAUUUUAAAUAACUUUAUUUACAAAGUACUAACGUUCCCAGGCACCACUGCCUAGGGUUAUCUUCUUUCCUCCAGGCAGCUUUCUAUAGAGUGCAGCUGUGGUAGAUGAAAGUAGUGGCCAAAAGACUGGACAAUGAUAACAAGGGCAGGAUCUAGAGUUUUUCGUAUUUGAAAAUAUGAAUUGCAGCUGCCAUCUUGUCAAUCACCCAAAUGCUUGGUGCCAGCGGUGCCAUAGUUGUGCUUAUGUGUGGAUGUAACCUUAUUACACACAUGUAUUAAAGAUGAAGCUUAGGGUAAGGGAGACAAUCAGUGAGCCACUUUAAUACAUUUUCUUUAUUAAUCUUUUAACCAUUUAGUUAAUUAACCUAUUAGCUUCCCAUUGUGAAUUGUAACCAUCCAUAUUUUCUUAGAUAAUUAGAAUCAUUACUAUUUAUCAAGAAGAAGGCUUUUGGGGGGCUGGCCCCGUGGCCGAGUGGUUAAGUUCGCGCACUCCGCAGCAGGCGGCCCAGUGU